UACGUAGGGUGCGAGCGUUGUCCGGAAUUACUGGGCGUAAAGAGCUCGUAGGUGGUUUGUCGCGUUGUUCGUGAAAUCUCACGGCUUAACUGUGAGCGUGCGGGCGAUACGGGCAGACUUGAGUACUGCAGGGGAGACUGGAAUUCCUGGUGUAGCGGUGGAAUGCGCAGAUAUCAGGAGGAACACCGGUGGCGAAGGCGGGUCUCUGGGCAGUAACUGACGCUGAGGAGCGAAAGCGUGGGGAGCGAACAGGAUUAGAUACCCUGGUAGUCCACGCCGUAAACGGUGGGUACUAGGUGUGGGUUUCCUUCCUUGGGAUCCGUGCCGUAGCUAACGCAUUAAGUACCCCGCCUGGGGAGUACGGCCGCAAGGCUAAAACUC
rnacentral:rRNA from 1 species